rnacentral:rRNA from 1 species
GGGCAGCGGGGUAGCAAUACUGCCGGCGACCGGCGCACGGGUGCGUAACACGUAUGCAACCUACCUUAAACUGGGAGAUAGCCCGGGGAAACUCGGAUUAAUACCCCAUAACACAGCGAUGUCUCAUGACAAUGUUGUUAAAGAUUUAUCGGUUUAAGAUGGGCAUGCGUUCGAUUAGCUAGUUGGUAAGGUAAUGGCUUACCAAGGCUACGAUCGAUAGGGGGUCUGAGAGGAUGAUCCCCCACACUGGUACUGAGAUACGGACCAGACUCCUACGGGAGGCAGCAGUAGGGAAUAUUGGUCAAUGGAGGCAACUCUGAACCAGCCAUGCCGCGUGUAGGAAGAAGGCGUUCUGCGUUGUAAACUACUUUUGAUUGGGAACAAAUGACUCUUGCGAGAGUAGCUGAGUGUACCAAUAGAAUAAGCCACGGCUAACUACGUGCCAGCAGCCGCGGUAAUACGUAGGUGGCAAGCGUUGUCCGGAUUUAUUGGGUUUAAAGGGUGCGUAGGCGGCUUAAUAAGUCAGUGGUGAAAGCCGAUCGCUUAACGAUCGAACUGCCAUUGAUACUGCUAGGCUUGAGUAUAGUUGAGGUAGGCGGAAUUGACAGUGUAGCGGUGAAAUGCAUAGAUAUUGUCAAGAACACCAAUUGCGAAGGCAGCUUACUAAAGUAUAACUGACGCUGAGGCACGAAAGUGCGGGGAUCAAACAGGAUUAGAUACCCUGGUAGUCCGCACCGUAAACGAUGAUCACUCGCUGUGUGCGAUAAACAGUACGCGGCCAAGCGAAAGCGAUAAGUGAUCCACCUGGGGAGUACGCCCGCAAGGGUGA